rnacentral:rRNA from 1 species
UACGUAGGUGGCAAGCGUUGUCCGGAUUUAUUGGGGUUAAAGGGUGCGUAGGCGGUCCUAUAAGUCAGUUGUGAAAUACGGCAGCUUAACUGUCGAGGUGCAAUUGAUACUGCAGGACUUGAGUACAGACGAGGUAGGCGGAAUUGACGGUGUAGCGGUGAAAUGCGUAGAGAUGUGGAGGAACACCAGUGGCGAAGGCGGCUUUCUGGUCUGUAACUGACGCUGAGGCGCGAAAGCGUGGGGAGCAAACAGG